GUGCUGCUGAACUAGAAUUUGUAUUUUCUGCAACUGGCUCCUCUAGGAUCUACUAAUGAUUUACAUCUAAAAGAUGAAGUUAGUAAAGCAUCAGAAAAAAAGAUACUGUGUUGACCAGUGGUCAUGCCACCAUCUAUUUAUUUGUUGGAAAUAUUGUUCACACAUGCAUGAGAUUGAGUCAUCAACAGUGACAAACUGGAUCAUGGAAUCUCACAGUAUCAAGUUUGGAUAGAAAGGAGCCUGGCAAUCUUGUGGUCCACAACACCUCAAUUUACCAAGGAAGCUGUGCAAGCUCAGGUCUCCAGGUUCAUCCCAAAGACCCCAUCCUGGGGCUACCCACAGUGUUCCUAUCUUUAGACCCCCAAAACAGGCUGCUGGGCCCUGUGCUUUAGGGACCUCUGCACUGGCCCUCCCUCGCUGGGUGUGUUCCUCUGCACAGAGUGAAAAGCUGUGAUGCACACAGUCAGUCUUCCCACUUCUAAUCUGUUGGGGCAGCUGUUUGCAAGG
rnacentral:lncRNA from 1 species